rnacentral:rRNA from 1 species
AGUGAACGCUGGCGGUAGGCCUAACACAUGCAAGUCGAACGGCAGCACAGUAAGAGCUUGCUCUUACGGGUGGCGAGUGGCGGACGGGUGAGGAAUACAUCGGAAUCUACUUUUUCGUGGGGGAUAACGUAGGGAAACUUACGCUAAUACCUCAUACGACCUACCGGUGAAAGCAGGGGAUCUUCGGACCUUUCGCGAUUGAAUGAGCCGAUGUCGGAUUAGCUAGUUGGCGGGGUAAAGGCCCACCAAGGCGACGAUCCGUAGCUGGUCUGAGAGGAUGAUCAGCCACACCGGAACUGAGACACGGUCCAGACUCCUACGGGAGGCAGCAGUGGGGAAUAUUGGACAAUGGGCGCAAGCCUGAUCCAGCCAUACCGCGUGAGUGAAGAAGGCCUUCGGGUUGUAAAGCCCUUUUGUUGGGAAAGAAAAGCAGCAGGUUAAUACCCCGCUGUUCUGACGGUACCCAAAGAAUAAGCACCGGCUAACUUCGUG